AUAUUUAUAUGUACGCACACAAGUAGGGUUCUUGCUGCACUGGUGAAAGCGUGAAAGCAGGUGCCCACGAUUGAUCAAGAAUGGCUGUGCUUUGCCCUGUACCGAUGAUAAUCGUAGCCGCGUUUACUAUGGCUCUGCUUCAAGGAUCCGAAACUGACGCCCGAGAACUCCCUCUUAAAAUGCACUAUCCUCAAUGCCGUAUGCGUUGGUGCAGAGCAAGUUGCAAGGAUGACUUUGGUUACAGAUUAGUCAAGGUGACCUGCAUAAGGGACAUAUGCAGGUGCUACCACACAUAGAAACGACCCGAUCGACAUCAUAUUUCAGUUCCUUCCAGAAGAUUGAAACGCCCACAGCCUGUGGGGGUUCAUAAUCUUUAUUAUAUGUGCUUUUGUUGCGGGUGUAAUCAUUUAGUGCACGUGCACUGCGUACAUUCACUGCGGACCUACUCCACACCUUGUCAGUUAUAUAGUGUUACACAGAGUGUGUUGAACGGGAAGUGCGUUGCUUUAUCUUACUUGGAAUAUGUACCUACAAAACGUUUCACCUAACGCUUUGAAAACCACAAUAAAGGUCUGCUGCAUGCA